rnacentral:tRNA from 1 species
AGAAAUAUAUUAUAUUAAGCUGCUAACUUAAUUUUUAGUGAUUAAUUAUCAUUAAUAUUUCUA